rnacentral:lncRNA from 1 species
UUUACAACUAUCGUUAUACCUCUCUCACGAUCUACACGUAUCUGGCAACGUGUGAAUGAAACGACGAAUAUCUUAGGACGAGGAAGAUCGAAGAGAAAAAGAAGGUGUCGCGUGACGCGUCCACGACGCACGUAUCUCGCAAAGAACGACGUGCCUCGCGAUGAUUCACGCUUGGUAGGACGACGCAGGUGGAACGUACGAGCGCGCACGUCCUCUCGAGAGGAGCGGCGAGGCUCGUACGCGGCGUCGAUGACGACGCCGAUCAGCACGACGACCGAGAUGGAAACAGUCUAGGGUAUCAUCGUCUAUAAAUACUCUAAUAGCCUCGGGCAAGGACGUCGUUGGUUACGGAGGAUGAUCCUAGACGACGUUGGCUUCGCCGCGAUGGUGCUGACCUCUUCGAGCGGAUCGACGCGCGCCCAUUGGACGCCUGCUCUCCGCUAAUUGGCGUGUACGGUUGUGCGGUGGAACAAGAAUCUCUCCAGGGACCUUUGAUAAUCAGAGGUAUUAGCUGGAGGAUUUUAGAAUCCGUGUGUAAAGGAUGGCUUGUGGGGAAGCGGCGUAGUAUUAUCGAAGCGGAUAAUGAGCUCUGAAGAAUAUGUGGAAAGAGAGGAAGAAACCCGUGACCAGUCUUGGGUUUCAAACAGUAUUCGAGAUUGAGGAAUAACGGAUCAAUUCCGGCAAUUCAUAUUUCCGGUUGUGAUGGAGCGAUGCGAUAGAGAAAGAAGAUGGGAUUCGUCUUCGUCGAUGAUAUUUGAUUUCCAUGUUUCACAAAGAAUAUUCUCUUUAAAUGGUAACCAAGAUAUUUCAACAACGAUUCCUCGGAAAUGUUGAUUUAUCCAUCAUCGAUGAAACGUUCCUUCACCAAUCGUUCAAUACUUUCUUCCCAAAUGUCGUUAAAGUAAUUAAAUGAAAUCAAAGAUAGAUAAAAUAUCGAUAGGCAAAAGAACUACGCGAAUUAAAGUUCAAAAUCGGUGAAUUACUUCGAACGAUUACUAUCAUCAGCUUAUUAUAGUUGACGUAAUGGGCUAUGUUUCAUUCGCGAUAACAACCAACAACAAUAAGAACACGAGUUAGAGGCCUCCACACGCUCUUUUACCAGGAUAUUUAAGAUCUUUUAUUACCAUUGGAUGAUCGGUGGUUCUCGAUCGGAGCUUAGAUAUGUUAAUUUGUUUAAAUUUGCAUCUUUAUCAUCGUAAACAUAAUAAACUGAAGAAAUAUAUUGAACUUGAUUAGAUUCGUUAAAGAAGAUUCGAAUGGAAGGAGCAUUUAUUGCGCCUCGGAAAGGAAAUGUAGACAGUGGAUCUACUGAAUCAAUCGGCUGAUCCUUAUUUUCUAAAUCUGCGAAACAGCGGAGGAGAAUUCCAUUGAAAUCUUUUCGACCAUCAUCGAUCAAGCGUAAUUGGGGGGAGGGGGGAACGAAGCGAUGAACGUUGGAGGAAGCAAGGGAUCGAUUAGUCUGUGAUUGAGUUACAGGAAGGCAGUCGUUUAUUGGCAUAAUCGAUACCUUAUCGGUAUCUAAUAAAUACAUCCUUGGGAAACCUCGA